rnacentral:rRNA from 2 species
AAUGCGACCUCAGCUCAGGCGGGGCUACCCGCUGAGUUUAAGCAUAUCAAUAAGCGGAGGAAAAGAA